UGGGGAAUAUUGGACAAUGGGGGCAACCCUGAUCCAGCAAUGCCGCGUGUGUGAAGAAGGCCUGCGGGUUGUAAAGCACUUUCAGUAGAGAAGAAAAGCUUACGGUUAAUACCCGUGAGUCUUGACGUAACCUACAGAAGAAGCACCGGCUAAGACCGUGCCUGCAGCCGCGGUAAUUCGGAGGGUGCGUGCGUUAAUCGGAAUUACUGGGCGUAAAGCGCGCGUAGGCGGCUUUGUAAGUCGGAUGUGAAAGCCCAGGGCUUAACCUUGGAUUUGCAUUCGAUACUGCAGAGCUAGAGUAUGGUAGAGGGAAGUGGAAUUUCCGGUGUAGCGGUGAAAUGCGUAGAUAUCGGAAGGAACACCAGUGGCGAAGGCGACUUCCUGGGCCAAUACUGACGCUGAGGUGCGAAAGCGUGGGGAGCAAACAGGAUUAGAUACCCGCGUAGUCC
rnacentral:rRNA from 1 species